rnacentral:rRNA from 1 species
GGGGCAGGAGAGACAGGUGGUGCAUGGUUGUCGUCAGCUCGUGUCGUGAGAUGUUGGGUUAAGUCCCGCAACGAGCGCAACCCUUAUCCUCAGUAGCCAGCGGUCCGGCCGGGCACUCUGUGGAGACUGCCGGGGAUAAUCCGGAGGAAGGUGGGGAUGACGUCAAAUCAUCAUGCCCUUUAUGGCUUGGGCUACACACGUGCUACAAUGGCGGUAACAAAGUGAAGCAGCCUCGCGAGAGUGAGCCAACCACAAAAAAACCGUCCCAGUUCGGAUUGUAGUCUGCAACCCGACUACAUGAAGCUGGAAUCGCUAGUAAUCGCAGAUCAGAAUGCUGCGGUGAAUACGUUCCCGGGUCUUGUACACACCGCCCGUCACACCAUGGGAGUCGGAAAUGCCCGAAGCCAGUGACCCAACCUUAGGGAGGGAGCUGUCGAAGGUGGAGCCGAUAACUGGGGUGAAGUCGUAACAAGGUAGCCGUAUCGGAAGGUGCGGCUGGAUCACCUC